rnacentral:lncRNA from 1 species
AUCGUCGACACCGGCACAUUGUCACUUUUGCCACCUUCGUUAUAGUUGGAGAGGUAUUUUGAUCCCACCUGCAAAUUUUUUAUUUUUUUAAUAUGCAUUUAUACUAUCUUAGCAUAUUUUUUUUUGAUAUUUUUUGUUUUUACGUAUACAUUUAUCAAAUAUAAAGCAUAUAUUUUUUUGGUAAUAUUCUUUUUCAUUUUCACCUAUAUUUUUCUUAAUUAUUCUCAAAUAUUUUUUUUAGUAAAUCAUUUCUCAUUUGUUACCGUUGCCGGCAUCGGCACAUGGUCAUCGUCCUCCUCAUCAUCAUCAUCAUCACCAACAUAUUAUCUCCUUCGUCACCUUUGCUACAUGUUAUUUGAUCCCACCGAAUUUUUUUUUUAAUUAGUAUUUCCUUAUUUUUACGUAUGCGUUUAUCAAAUAUAAAAUAUAUAAUAUUUUUUUAGUAAUAUCCUUUUAAAUAUUUUCUUUGUGACAUAGCUGUCAAUACUUUGUGCACGUUUAUAAAUUAAUUAAAAAUAUAUAAAACUUAUCUAGAGAUAAAUUAAAGUUAGAAAAAAUAAUUAAAUAAUAGACAUACACCACCAAUAACGAUUUAAAAUUUAAAAUAUAAAUAUAAAUUUAAUUUAAAAUUAGAUGUGACAUUUUGAAUUAAAAAUAAAUUAAAAUUUUGAUACUUUUAGAUUAAAAUAUAUAUCCAAUAUUCUAAAUAUCCUUUCUGACGAGUGAUACUUGCUACCUAUCAUCUUUUUCUCAUCUUUCUCAGAUAUCGAGCUUAUCUUGAUAAAUAUCCUAACAUAAUUUAACCUCACAAUCUUUUUAUUCUUAUCCCAAUCUUAUAUAUAUACUUAUUCUUUUUCACACGUAAUACCCGCCACUUAUGCAUUUGUAAUUGCAUAGGU